AGCUAUAUGACAUGUACUUUGAAAGUACAUAUAAGAUUAUUCUAAUAGCUU
rnacentral:tRNA from 1 species